rnacentral:rRNA from 1 species
CAGUAGCCGCGGGAAUACGAAGGGGGCUAGCGUUGCUCGGAAUGACUGGGCGUAAAGGGCGCGUAGGCGGAUCACGCAGUCAGAUGUGAAAUUCCUGGGCUUAACCUGGGGGCUGCAUUUGAGACGCGUGGUCUAGAGUGUGGAAGAGGGUCGUGGAAUUCCCAGUGUAGAGGUGAAAUUCGUAGAUAUUGGGAAGAACACCGGUGGCGAAGGCGGCGACCUGGUUCAUAACUGACGCUGAGGCGCGAAAGCGUGGGGAGCAAACAGGAUUAGAUACCCCGGUAGUCCCUGUCUCUUAUAC